UACGAAGGGUGCAAGCGUUACUCGGAAUUACUGGGCGUAAAGCGUGCGCAGGUGGUUCGUUAAGUCUGAUGUGAAAGCCCUGGGCUCAACCUGGGAAUGGCAUUGGAUACUGGCGAGCUAGAGUGCGGUAGAGGGGUGUGGAAUUCCCGGUGUAGCAGUGAAAUGCGUAGAUAUCGGGAGGAACAUCUGUGGCGAAGGCGACACCCUGGACCAGCACUGACACUGAGGCACGAAAGCGUGGGGAGCAAACAGG
rnacentral:rRNA from 1 species